CGGCGGCGUUGAUCGGCUUGGUCGGCGCCUUCUUCUGGGGCUGGUUCUGGGGCAGCGGGGGCUGCGGCGUGCGAGCCACCGGCUGCGGU
rnacentral:tRNA from 1 species